GAUGAACGCUAGCGGCAGGCUUAAUACAUGCAAGUCGAGGGGCAUCAAGGUACACGAAAGUGUAUUGUUGGCGACCGGCGGACGGGUGAGUAAUAGGUAGGUAACCUACCUCAUACUGAGGCAUAGCUGGGAGAAAUUCCAGGUAAUUCCUCAUGAGGUUAUAUGACACAUGUGAUAUAAUCAAAGGUAUCGCAAGGUACUGGUAUGAGAUGGGCUUACUGACCAUUAGCUAGUUGGUGAGAUAAGAGCUCACCAAGGCGAAGAUGGUUAGGGGUUUUGAGAGAGAGAUCCCCCACAUUGGAACUGAGAUACGGUCCAGACUCCUACGGGAGGCAGCAGUAGGGAAUAUUGGGCAAGUGGGCGGAAGCCUGACCCAGCCAUGCCGCGUGAAGGAAGACGGCCUUAUGGGUUGUAAACUUCUUUACUAUGCGACUAACUAGAUUUACGAGAUAAUUCUAUAGAAUGUAGCAUAGACAAAAAGCACCGGA
rnacentral:rRNA from 1 species